UCGAAUGCCCUGACCCUUUCCGUGGGGACUUGCAGUCACACCUAGGAGCUAUGCUGUAUGCACUGUGUUGGGAUCCAGGAUGCCCUCGGGAGCCCUGGACUGAGUGUAGAGCCCCGCACGAUCCCAAGUGGCCAGUAACGGAUCGACACCCGCUCUGCCCUUGCUGUGCCGACAGUGAGGGCUCCUGUUAAAAUGGAAACAUCUGAGCAAGAAACACAGUAAGACAUCAUGGUCCCUGACCUUCAAUUCGUAUGAAGACAUGGGAAGCAUGUGCAUCCAGUCUGCAGAUGACUCAACGCUGGAGGGGAUGGGAGAAUUAAGGUUCAAGAUGAGCUCGACAGUCGAGAAUGCUGGGUCAAAAGCAACCAGAUGAAAUUUAACAUCAAUAAAUCUAACGUCUUGAA